CCGACCGCUGACGUUGCACGCUGGCGGAGCCAAGCUGUCAUGGCCGCAAGACGCGAGGCCCCGAGUGGACCACGUUUAGGCGCACUAAGUUUACUGUUGCAAGGUGUUCAGCGCAGUAAUUGCGGAGAGUGUGCGGGCAUCGUGGGGCUUUUGUGUCUCGGCGCUGGGCGGUCCUCUGCGUGUUUGGGUGGCGUGCCGCGGUGAAUUCUACACGGCUCCUGCUGGCGGGAAGCCUCCCCUUUUCUUUCUAUUUUCUUUCUCCGUGUACCUGGUCUGUUCUGUGGUCGUGGCCCUUGGUGAAAGGACUCGCUCUCUGAAGUCUUCGUCUUGGG